rnacentral:snoRNA from 1 species
GUGCAGACGUUUCCAGCGAGGCCCAGCCUGAUGUGGCUGCGUCCUUCUGACGUCUGCCAGAGUCAAGCGGGGCUGUUUGAGGCUCUGCUGUGGCUCUCCACGCCGGGGUUAUAGGUUCGCCUCCAACAGUU